UACGGAGGAUGCAAGCGUUAUCCGGAAUGAUUGGGCGAAAAGCGUCCGCAGGUGGCUGUGUAAGUCUGCUGUUAAAGAGUCUAGCUCAACUAGAUACAAGCAGUGGAAACUACACGGCUAGAGUACGUUCGGGGCAGAGGGAAUUCCUGGUGUAGCGGUGAAAUGCGUAGAGAUCAGGAAGAACACCGGUGGCGAAGGCGCUCUGCUAGGCCGUAACUGACACUGAGGGACGAAAGCUAGGGGAGCGAAUGGG
rnacentral:rRNA from 1 species